rnacentral:rRNA from 1 species
AACGAACGCUGGCGGCAGGCCUAACACAUGCAAGUCGAGCGCCCCGCAAGGGGAGCGGCGGACGGGUGAGUAACGCGUGGGAAUAUGCCCUUUGCUACGGAAUAGUCUCGGGAAACUGGGGGUAAUACCGUAUACGCCCUUUGGGGGAAAGAUUUAUCGGCGAAGGAUUAGCCCGCGUUGGAUUAGGUAGUUGGUGGGGUAAUGGCCUACCAAGCCGACGAUCCAUAGCUGGUUUGAGAGGAUGAUCAGCCACACUGGGACUGAGACACGGCCCAGACUCCUACGGGAGGCAGCAGUGGGGAAUCUUAGACAAUGGGGGCAACCCUGAUCUAGCCAUGCCGCGUGAGUGAUGGAGGCCUUAGGGUUGUAAAGCUCUUUCAGCUGGGAAGAUAAUGACGGUACCAGCAGAAGAAGCCCCGGCUAACUCCGUG